rnacentral:rRNA from 1 species
CGCCUUGCCAGCCCGCUCAGAAACUCAAAGGAAGUUGACGGGGGCCCGCACAAGCGGUGGAGUAUGUGGUUUAAUUCGAUGCAACGCGAAGAACCUUACCUGGUCUUGACAUCCCGGAGACCCUUAGGAAACUAGGGGGUGCUUCCAUCUGGAAGAAUCUGGAGACAGGUGCUGCAUGGCUGUCGUCAGCUCGUGUCGUGAGAUGUUGGGUUAAGUCCCGCAACGAGCGCAACCCUUGCCUUUAGUUGCCAGCAGUUCGGCUGGGCACUCUAAAGGGACUGCCGGUGUUAAACCGGAGGAAGGUGGGGAUGACGUCAAGUCCUCAUGGCCUUUAUGACCAGGGCUACACACGUACUACAAUGGCCGAUACAAAGGGCAGCGACACUGCGAGGUGAAGCCAAUCCCGUAAAAUCGGUCUCAGUCCGGAUUGGAGUCUGCAACUCGACUCCAUGAAGUUGGAAUCGCUAGUAAUCCGUGGAUCAAGACAUGCCACGGUGAAUACGUUCCCGGGCCUU